rnacentral:rRNA from 1 species
CCUACGGGUGUCAGCAGUGGGGAAUAUUGGACAAUGGGCGAAAGCCUGAUCCAGCCAUGCCGCGUGUGUGAAGAAGGCCUUCGGGUUGUAAAGCACUUUCAGUGGGGAAGAAAGCCUUGGGGCUAAUACCCUCGAGGAAGGACAUCACCCACAGAAGAAGCACCGGCUAACUCCGUGCCAGCAGCCGCGGUAAUACGGAGGGUGCGAGCGUUAAUCGGAAUUACUGGGCGUAAAGCGCGCGUAGGCGGUCUGAUAAGCCGGUUGUGAAAGCCCCGGGCUCAACCUGGGAACGGCAUCCGGAACUGUCAGGCUAGAGUGCAGGAGAGGAAGGUAGAAUUCCCGGUGUAGCGGUGAAAUGCGUAGAGAUCGGGAGGAAUACCAGUGGCGAAGGCGGCCUUCUGGACUGACACUGACGCUGAGGUGCGAAAGCGUGGGUAGCAAACAGGAUUAGAUACCCGGGUAGUC